AAAAACAUGUCCUUUAGUUUUUUAUUUAAGGUCUAACCUGCCCAAUGAUUUAUUUAAUGGCCGCGGUAUUUUAACUGUGCUAAGGUAGCAUAAUCAUUUGUCUUUUAAUUAAGGGCUUGUAUGAAUGGUUGGACGAGAUACUAACUUUCUUUAAUCUAUUGAAUUUUAAUUUAAUUUUUUAGUUAAAAAGCUAAAAUUUAUUAAUGGGACGAGAAGACCCUGUAGAUCUUUAUUUAGAUUUUGUUUAAGAAAUUUAGUUUUGUGAUUAAAUUAAGUGAAUUUUAAAUUUAAUUGGGGUGAUUACAGAAUUAACUUAACUUCUGUUUUAAUGUUCAUUAAUUAAUGAUUAUUUUGGUCCAGUUUUAUUGAUUAAAAGAUUAAGUUACCUCAGGGAUAACAGCGUAAUUUUUUUGGAUAGUUCAUAUUGAUAAAAAAGUUUGCGACCUCGAUGUUGGAUUAAAAUGGGUAAUAGGUGCAGUGAUUUAUUUACUAGGUCUGUUCGACCUUUAAUUUUUUACAUGAUCUGAGU
rnacentral:rRNA from 1 species